AUCUGCUCCGCGUGUGCUACAUAGGAGUAACCCACGCAUGCUCUUUGGUAGAAGAAAUGAGAAUGCGUGUAUUGCAAGACCCAUCCUGUGUUAACAACUCAGGGCCAGGUGACUUUGCUGCAGGCUCGGGAAGAGACUGUGAGCAACACAGAGGGACUGUUGUCUCCACAGGAUUCACAGGAUUCCAGUGUGAGACUCCAGGGAAGGCAUUCUGUUUCAAUGGCAAGAGUGAUGGAGCAGGGUUUAUGCUCAAGCAGAAAUGUCAGGAGUUGCUAUGGAAACAUCCCAG
rnacentral:lncRNA from 1 species